ensembl:lncRNA
AAGAGGUUUUUACUACUGCGAGGGUCUGAGCUAUACAAUUUAUGACACCGUCUCCAUUCACGUGAGCCAUUACCAAGUGAAAUUCCUCACAGUUCACAUGGCCCAGAGUGCCUCCAUAUCGGACCACUAUAGUUUUUGGACAAUUGUAAAAUUAAAAGGACAGGAGUUACGUGGACCUAAAGGUAGCGCAGGACCCUAAGGCCUCAAAGAACAGGGAGGUGAUUGUGAGCAAUCUUAGAACCUAAGAGUCAUUCAUUGGUUAUUCAUUAGACACAGGGCAUGUCGAUCCUCGCUUCUCAGCAAAUGAGCUUGGAGCUCAUGGUGAGGGGGCGUGGCCCUCUGACCUCUGGCCCCGCCCCCGUCACCUGCCUAGCGGGCUCUUCGCGCCUUGUCCGCUUCGGUCUGAGGCGCCUCUCCUGACACUGCUGCCCUGCCCUUCGCCCCUGGGGCCUCCUCGGGCACCCCACAGACUGUUGUCCCCUCAGCAGCGCACUCCUCUGCCGCCCCGUCGGUCCGCCUCAGGCCGGGCCCCACUGCCCACAGCCUCCCCUCAGCGGCGGCCACCUCGGGGGCCACCAUCUUUGCUGUCGACGCCACAGCCUGAUCGCCACCCCAGUUGAGGUACCGCCUGGCGCCAUGUCUGCCGCAGGAGAAGGAGACCUGGCCGCAGGUGGCCUGAACAGGCCUGUGGGCGUGCCGGGGGCGUGGGCCCUGGCGGCCGGCUGGUCGGCGACUCGGGGCCCCACGGGGCGGCGAGAGUCACGGCGGCGGCGGCGGCGGGAGCCCUCGGGGAGGCGGCGGGGGAGCCGGGGGCCGGCGGCCCGGAGGGCGGGAGCGCCGAGGAGGACUCGGACAUCGAGCCGGCAGAGGAGGGCGAGGAGGCGGCGGCGGGCCGCCUGGCGGUGGACGCGGCGCAGUUCCCGCGGGCGAGCUUACGCCUCCUCUUCCUGGAGUUCGCGCAGUCGCUGCUGCGCCGCCUCUUCUACAAUAACCACGUGCUGCUGCGGCCAUGGCCUCUGGCUCACGACGGCUUGGCUCAGCGCCCCGCGCCCCGCGGGCCGGCGCCGCAAGAGCUGGCCGCCUGCGCCCUGCCGCCGGUCCAGGAGCCGGGGAAGGGGGCCACGACCCAGGAGCCGGGGGCGGAGACCGCGACCCAGGAGCCGGGAGCGGAGGCCGCGACCCAGGAGCCCGCGGAGGAGGCCGCCGCCCCGGAGGAAACAACUAAAUAUCGGUGUGAAAACUCGAAUGAAGAGGCCCACGACGCUGAAGACAAGGACGAAAAAGAGAAGUUUAACAAAAAACAAGAAGGACCCGAAAACGCUCUGGACCCCACAGACAGCACACCGAGAAAAUCCAGCUGUGACUUUCAUACUAACAGCCUCUUUGUCAUAUGUUGGGAGGAAUAGAAAGAAGAUGGAGAAAGAAGAAAGAACCUGCUCUUCACCCUUUAGGUUUUUCGUUUUUUAGAAGCCCAAGGGAAUUUUAUCAACACUGAUUUCAUUCCAACUUCAUCACCCCAAAAGUGACAUCCACUGACAUCUGACUUUUCCCUUACAUUUUGCAGAUAUAUUUGACAGCAUUUCUUCUAGUUAAAAAAUUUGUUUUAAAUUAAUAAACUGAAAUGAAGGCAGAUUUUAUUUACAUAAAUAAUCCUGACAAAUCUUUUACCUCAUUUUUUUUUUUUUUGGCUUACUGUACCUUCAUUAAGACUUAUCACUUUCCACCAUUUGGUAAGCCUAUAUUUAUUAUUUUAUUGUAGCUCAAAAUAAGUUAAAAUGUCAAGUUUAAAAUAAUUUUGUGAAGAGAGAGAUGGAGGUCAAGCCUUUAAUGCUGCACUGUCCACUGUUAGUCACUAGCCACAUCUGGCUCCUGAGCACUUGAAAUAUGGCUAGUCUGAUUUGAGAUGUGCUACAGGUAUAAAAAAAAGUUACAUGUCUUACUAAUAAUUUUAUACUGAUUACAUGUUGAAGUGAUAAUAUAUUGAAUUAAAAUAUACUAUUAAAAUUAAUUUUGCCAGUUUCUUUUUACUUUUUUAAUGUGGC